rnacentral:rRNA from 1 species
GCGGCGAGCGAAGCGGGAAGAGCUCAAAUUUAUAAUCUGGCACCUUCGGUGUCCGAGUUGUAAUCUCUAGAAGUGUUUUCCGCGUUGGACCGCACACAAGUCUGUUGGAAUACAGCGGCAUAGUGGUGAGACCCCCGUAUAUGGUGCGGACGCCCAACGCUUUGUGAUACACUUUCGAAGAGUCGAGUUGUUUGGGAAUGCAGCUCAAAUUGGGUGGUAAAUUCCAUCUAAAGCUAAAUAUUGGCGAGAGACCGAUAGCGAACAAGUACCGUGAGGGAAAGAUGAAAAGCACUUUGGAAAGAGAGUUAACAGUACGUGAAAUUGUUGGAAGGGAAACGCUUGAAGUCAGACUUGCUUGCCGAGCAAUCGGUUUGCAGGCCAGCAUCAGUUUUCCGGGGUGGAUAAUGGUAGAGAGAAGGUAGCAGUUUCGGCUGUGUUAUAGCUCUUUGCUGGAUACACCUUGGGGGACUGAGGAACGCAGUGUGCCUUACGGCGGAUUUCUCGAGAUCUUCACACUUAGGAUGCUGGUGGAAUGGCUUUAAACGACCCGUCUUG